ACCUGCAUUGCCAUUCCUACUCCUAAAGUCCUAAUUGUGUAUCAUAGAUUACACUAUAAAAGUUACUAGAUUUGAACAAAAACAAGAUAGAAAAUUCC